CACCUCUCAGGAUAGCAUCUGGAGAGUGUCCAGUACUCUACCAGUCUCGGCUCCGGGAUGGAGAAUGAAGCAGAGGCCUACCCAUUCCAUUUCUAGCUUGGCCAAUGGCUAGCAAGCAAAAGGCAAUCUGCUACAAGU